GGUGAACCUGCGGAAGGAUCAUUAAACGGAAAAGCAUGCUUUUUCCAGCAUGAUAGUUCAAACCCCACCUGUGUACCUUACCUGUUGCUUCCGUGCCGCACACUGUGCAAAGGUGCCUUGGGGUGACCCCGUGGGUACCCGAGUGCUCCGGACCCCCCGAGGAGUCGGCACGAAUGGUUGACCACAAACUCUUGCCUCUGAAUGCCCUCCGUCUGAACUGUAAGUACGCAAAAACGUAAAAAGAAAAAAAGAAAAAAAACUUUCAACAACGGAUCUCUUGGUUCUCGCAUCGAUGAAGAACGCAGCGAAAUGCGAUAAGUAGUGUGAAUUGCAGAAUUCCGUGAAUCAUCGAAUCUUUGAACGCACAUUGCGCCUCCUGGCAUUCCGGGAGGCAUGCCUGUACGAGGGUCACCCAAAAUCAACUCGUCGCGCGCCGGGAUCGCGCACGGUCUUGGAGGAAGAGAGAGGGAGCCCGCCUCGUUGGUCGCGAUAAAUCUCCCCUCCCAAAUCGAACGGCGCAAGGUCACUCGGUACUCGGCGUAGUAGUCGUCGUUCGUCGAUGGUCCAGUGUCGUUGUCGCCCGGGAAACCACCGCAAAUUGUCUCGAUUGACCUCGUAUCAGGUAGGGAUACC
rnacentral:rRNA from 1 species